rnacentral:rRNA from 1 species
AUUGAACGCUGGCGGCAGGCCUAACACAUGCAAGUCGAGCGCGAAAAGUUUUCGGACUGAGUAAAGCGGCGGACGGGUGAGUAAUGCUUGGGAAUCUACCUAGUAGUGGGGGACAACAGUUGGAAACGACUGCUAAUACCGCAUACGCCCUACGGGGGAAAGGGGGGGAUCUUCGGACCUCUUGCUAUUAGAUGAGCCCAAGUCGGAUUAGCUAGUUGGUGAGGUAAAGGCUCACCAAGGCGACGAUCCGUAGCUGGUUUGAGAGGAUGAUCAGCCACACUGGGACUGAGACACGGCCCAGACUCCUACGGGAGGCAGCAGUGGGGAAUAUUGGACAAUGGGCGAAAGCCUGAUCCAGCCAUGCCGCGUGUGUGAAGAAGGCCCUAGGGUUGUAAAGCACUUUAAGUUGUGAGGAAGGCUUUCAAAUUAAUACUUUGGAGGAUUGACGUUAGCAACAGAAUAAGCACCGGCUAACUCCGUG